rnacentral:rRNA from 1 species
CCUACGGGAGGCAGCAGUGAGGAAUAUUGGUCAAUGGGCGGGAGCCUGAACCAGCCAAGCCGCGUGAGGGAAGAAGGUACAGCGUAUCGUAAACCUCUUUUGUCAGGGAACAAAGGCGGGGACUAGUCCCCGGAUGAGGGUACCUGAAGAAAAAGCAUCGGCUAACUCCGUGCCAGCAGCCGCGGUAAUACGGAGGAUCCGAGCAUUAUCCGGAGUGACUGGGUGUAAUGAGUUGCGUAGGUGGCAUAAUAAGUAGCUAGUGAAAUCUGGUGGCUCAACCAUUCAGACUAUUAGCUAAACUGUUAAGCUCGAGACCGUUAGGGGUAACUGGAAUUUCUAGUGUAGGAGUGAAAUCCGUAGAUAUUAGAAGGAACACCAAUAGCGUAGGCAGGUUACUGGGACGGUUCUGACACUAAGGCACGAAAGCGUAGGGAGCAAACGGGAUUAGAUACCCUUGUAGUC